rnacentral:rRNA from 1 species
GUGGGGAAUAUUGCACAAUGGGGGAAACCCUGAUGCAGCGACGCCGCGUGAGUGAAGAAGUGCUCCGGCAUGUAAAGCUCUGUCAGCAGGGAAGAAAAUGACGGUACCUGAAGAAGAAGCCCCGGCUAACUACGUGCCAGCAGCCGCGGUAAUACGUAGGGGGCAAGCGUUAUCCGGAUUUACUGGGCGUAAAGGGAGCGCAGACGGCAGGGCAAGUCUGAAGUGAAAGCCCGGGGCCCAACCCCGGGACUGCUUUGGAAACUGUCCGGCUGGAGUGCAGGAGGGGUGGGCGGAAUUCCUAGUGUAGCGGUGAAAUGCGUAGAUAUUAGGAGGAACACCGGCGGCGAAGGCGGCCCACUGGACUGCAACUGACGUUGAGGCUCGAAAGCGUGGGGAGCAAACAGGA